AGAAUUUCUGAGGGUCAGAAAGAGACAGAGAAUGCAUCCCUGCACUCAUCACACCGUCCCUGAACCCCAGCAGGGCUGCAUUCUGCCACAAAACAGGCAGGGCUGACUGUUUUUCUUCCUUGAACAGAAAAUCUGAUCUGAGCAGACUGGCAAACACGUGCAUAUCUCCCCAGCAUCAAAGGUGCGAGCAGCUUCUUCCAAGGCCAUCCCCACCAUAACGAUCAGGGUUCUCAUCAGGCAGCACCCCCCCAGGGAGCAGCUACUUCCAAGGCUAUGGAAUGUGCUUCCUCCUUAGGCCAAUUAUGAUUCAACACAGGCCUCCUUGAGUCAGAGCUGCCUCUGUCGAAGGGACAGAAGGUGGUACCAGGGCCAAGCUGCCCAGAAGAGCAAUCAUGAAUUGAGAAAAUCGUGCUCAAACUCCGUUAUCUCUGCCCUUAGCCAGUCAGCACCUCCAAAGCUUCUGAGGCUAAAGUGAAGCCUUCACCAGCCUCCUCUCUCCUUACCUCAUAUCUCUCAUGAAAGAUCCACCAGAAGCAAUCCAAGAUGAUAGCUUUGGAGUAUGGAGAAGAGAAGAAUUUAGCCAUUUCUAAAGGUGCGCAGAAAGUCUGAGGAAAUAAAAGCCAGAGUGGUUGUUGUGAUUAAAUAC